AGAGUUUGAUCCUGGCUCAGAUUGAACGCUGGCGGCAUGCCUUACACAUGCAAGUCGAACGGCAGCACGGACUUCGGUCUGGUGGCGAGUGGCGAACGGGUGAGUAAUACAUCGGAACAUGUCCUGUAGUGGGGGAUAGCCCGGCGAAAGCCGGAUUAAUACCGCAUACGAUCUACGGAUGAAAGCGGGGGAUCGCAAGACCUCGCGCUAUAGGGUUGGCCGAUGGCUGAUUAGCUAGUUGGUGGGGUAAAGGCCUACCAAGGCGACGAUCAGUAGCUGGUCUGAGAGGACGACCAGCCACACUGGGACUGAGACACGGCCCAGACUCCUACGGGAGGCAGCAGUGGGGAAUUUUGGACAAUGGGGGCAACCCUGAUCCAGCAAUGCCGCGUGUGUGAAGAAGGCCUUCGGGUUGUAAAGCACUUUUGUUCGGAAAGAAAUCCUGAGGGCUAAUAUCCUUCGGGGAUGACGGUACCGGAAGAAUAAGCACCGGCUAACUACGUGCCAGCAGCCGCGGUAAUACGUAGGGUGCGAGCGUUAAUCGGAAUUA
rnacentral:rRNA from 1 species